AUUGAACGCUGGCGGCAUGCCUUACACAUGCAAGUCGAACGGCAGCGCGGGGCAACCUGGCGGCGAGUGGCGAACGGGUGAGUAACAUAUCGGAACAUACCCUAGAGUGGGGGAUAACGUAGCGAAAGUUACGCUAAUACCGCAUACGCACUAAGGUGGAAAGUGGGGGAUCUUCGGACCUCAUGCUCAUGGAGUGGCCGAUAUCUGAUUAGCUAGUUGGUGAGGUAAAGGCUCACCAAGGCGACGAUCAGUAGCUGGUUUGAGAGAACGACCAGCCACACUGGAACUGAGACACGGUCCAGACUCCUACGGGAGGCAGCAGUGGGGAAUUUUGGACAAUGGGGGCAACCCUGAUCCAGCAAUGCCGCGUGAGUGAAGAAGGCCUCGGUUGGU
rnacentral:rRNA from 1 species